rnacentral:lncRNA from 1 species
UUUUAAUAUUUUAUGAUGUAUUUAAAAGGGUAGUUAUUGUUGCAAACUCCAUUAGAAAUUUGAAUUGAUAUCAGUUUUGGAAAAAGGAAAACGGGGAUGUGAAAAAAAGGGGGGGGGGGUUAAAUUUUUUCUCAUUUCAGAUUUCAUAAAUAAAAAGAAAAUUUCUUCAAACAUUUUUUUGAGAGGAUUAAUAUUCAACAGCAUAGUGAAUUGCUCAAAGGCAAAAAAAAACUUUUAAGUUCAUUAGACCACAUUCGUUCUGUGUCAGAAACCUAUGCUGUGUCAUGAUCAACUAUUUAAUUUGAGUUUUAAAAAGUUUGAAGAAGAAAUCUUUAAUUGAUUUGUAAAAUCUUGACAUUUGUUUUGUGUAAAAAAAAACCAUGUAAUGUCAAAAAUUUGAUCACAAUCCAAAUUUAGAGCUGUAUCACGCUUGAAUGUUUUGUCCAUACUUGCCCCAACAGGGUUCGACCUCUGCGGUCGUAUAAAGCUGCGCCCUGCGGAGCACCUGGUUAAGUUUUGAAUCAAGGAGAGAGAUCAUGUUAAAAGUAAUGAAAUUUGUUAUGUAUGUCUUUUAUAAUUGUUAGAAAGUUUUAUCUUUAUGUCGAAGGUUAAUUUAUUAGUACCAGUAUCAUUGGAGAUUUUCUUAUACAACAAGCAAUAAGAAGUAUGCCAUAUCAUGUGUCAUCUGUUGAUUUCAUUUCAUCAACAAGCUAAAAAAAGAAGUUUGAAACACACAAUGAAUAAAGACUAUGAUUAUUAGUUAAUAUCUUAUGUUUAUGCCUUAUUAU